UAUUAAUAAAUUCUAGGGCUACUGGGUGCUUUUUAUAGGGGGGAAUUCUUAUAUGUCUUAGCACUCCCUCCUUGAACUCAUUGAAGGGAAGCUUGAACUUUAGCUGGGAUAAUAAGUACUUGUUGAAGGGGAUGGAACAUCCAUCAAAAAAACUGCAAAUCCUCUUUUCAUAAUAAAUAUGGGAGACCCACCAAUCUAAGGACAGACCCACACUUGCGUACCAAAUAUUGAGAUCGUCCCAACUAAUUCAGGACCUACCUAGUGGUACUCAUUAUCAACAACGGGUUCUAUAAGGCCUUCAUGCUUUCUUUGAAC
rnacentral:lncRNA from 1 species